CCUACGGGCGGCAGCAGUGAGGAAUAUUGGUCAAUGGGCGCGAGUCUGAACCAGCCAUGUCGCGUGAAGGAUGACUGCCCUAUGGGUUGUAAACUUCUUUUAUACGGGAAUAAAGUUCGUUACGCGUGCCUUUUUGUAUGUACUUUAUGAAUAAGGAUCGGCUAACUCCGUGCCAGCAGCCGCGGUAAUACGGAGGAUUCGAGCGUUAUCCGGAUUUAUUGGGUUUAAAGGGAGCGUAGGUGGGUUGUUAAGUUAGUGGUGAAAGUUUGGGGCUCAACCGUGAAAUUGCAAUUGAUACUGGCAGUCUUGAGUGCAGUUGAGGUAGGCGGAAGGCGUGGUGUAGCGGUGAAAUGCUUAGAUAUCACGAAGAACUCCGAUUGCGAAGGCAGCUUGCUAAACUGCCACUGACAUUGAUGCUCGAAAGUGUGGGUAGCAAACAGGAUUAGAUACCCUUGUAGUC
rnacentral:rRNA from 1 species